rnacentral:rRNA from 1 species
GUCGAUUUAAUUUAAUUCUAGUGGCGGACGGGUGAGUAACGCGUGGGUAACCUGCCUUAUACAGGGGGAUAACAGUCAGAAAUGGCUGCUAAUACCGCAUAAGCGCACAGAGCUGCAUGGCUCAGUGUGAAAAACUCCGGUGGUAUAAGAUGGACCCGCGUUGGAUUAGCUUGUUGGUGGGGUAACGGCCUACCAAGGCGACGAUCCAUAGCCGGCCUGAGAGGGUGAACGGCCACAUUGGGACUGAGACACGGCCCAGACUCCUACGGGAGGCAGCAGUGGGGAAUAUUGCACAAUGGGGGAAACCCUGAUGCAGCGACGCCGCGUGAAGGAAGAAGUAUUUCGGUAUGUAAACUUCUAUCAGCAGGGAAGAUAGUGACGGUACCUGACUAAGAAGCCCCGGCUAACUACGUGCCAGCAGCCGCGGUAAUACGUAGGGGGCAAGCGUUAUCCGGAUUUACUGGGUGUAAAGGGAGCGUAGACGGUGUGGCAAGUCUGAUGUGAAAGGCAUGGGCUCAACCUGUGGACUGCAUUGGAAACUGUCAUACUUGAGUGCCGGAGGGGUAAGCGGAAUUCCUAGUGUAGCGGUGAAAUGCGUAGAUAUUAGGAGGACACCAGUGGCGAAGGCGGCUUACUGGACGGUAACUGACGU